UAGUGGGGGGCAACAUUAUGACGGGUGGGAGAGCAACAGACCCAUUAUGACUGGUGGGGAGCAACAGACCCAUUAUGACUGGUGGGGAGCAACAUUAUGGCUGGUGGGGAGCAACAGACCCAUUAUGACUGGUGGGGAGCAACAGACCCAUUAUUACUGGAGGGGAGCAACAUUGUGACUGGUGGAGAGCAACAAUAUGGUUGGCUGGGACAACAUUAUGAUGGUGGGGAGCACACCAUGAUGACUGGUGGGGAGCACAACCUUAUGACUGGGGGGGGGAGCAACAGACCCAUUUUGACUGGUGGGAGCACCGACCAGGGAAGACUGGUGGGGAGCAAC
rnacentral:lncRNA from 1 species